rnacentral:rRNA from 1 species
UACGGAGGAUGCAAGCGUUAUCCGGAAUGAUUGGGCGUAAAGCGUCCGCAGGUGGCUGUGUAAGUCUGCUGUCAAAGAGCGAAGCUCAACUUCGUAAAGGCAGUGGAAACUACAUGGCUAGAGUGCGUUCGGGGCAGAGGGAAUUCCUGGUGUAGCGGUGAAAUGCGUAGAGAUCAGGAAGAACACCGGUGGCGAAAGCGCUCUGCUAGGCCGCAACUGACACUCAUGGACGAAAGCUAGGGGAGCGAAUGGG